rnacentral:rRNA from 1 species
GCUCUUCAACGAGGAAUCCCUAGUAAGUACAAGUCACUAGCUUGUGCUGAUUACGUCCCUGCCCUUUGUACACACCGCCCGUCGCUACUACCGAUUGAAUGGCUUAGUGAGGCCUUCGGAUUGAGGCUCGGAGGCUGGCAACAGACUCUUGGUUUUGAAAAGUUGGUCAAACUUGGUCAUUUAGAGGAAGUAAAAGUCGUAACAAGGUUUCCGUAGGUGAACCUGCGGAAGGAUCAUUACCAAUUUUUAGCGGACCUGAUCUUUGAUCAUGGUCUCGCGAAAACUUGUAUUUAAAACCCCACUCUUAUAAAUUGAAUCAUUUUAUACUAUGUAUAUAAUAAAAUGAAGAUCACUUUCAACAACGGAUCUCUUGGCUCUCGCAUCGAUGAAGAACGUAGCGAAGUGCGAUAAGUAAUGUGAAUUGCAGAAUUCCGUGAAUCAUCGAAUCUUUGAACGCAAAUUGCACUCUCUGGCAACCCGGGGAGUAUGCCUGUUUGAGGGCCAGUAUUAAUAAAAAUCGGUGCGUUGCAAAUUUUUGUGACGUUUCCGGAGUUUGAGUUAUCUUAACUUCGGUUUUAAGAGGCUUAAAAUUGACCUUUUUUUGUGCAUUUUAGACGUACAUAAAUCUUUUUUUUAUUCGUCUAUCCUAAUGCCAAAAUCUAUUAGAUGCGACCAUAUCUUGUGGUUUCGCGUCUAUAAAUUUUUCAUAAUUUGACCUCAAAUCAGUAGGGAUACCCGCUGAACUUAAGCAUAUCAAUAAGCGGAGGAAAAGAAACUAACAAGGAUUCCCCUAGUACCGGCGAGUGAAGAGGGAAAAGCCUCAAAUUUUAAUCUACCUGGGUUCCCGGGUUCGAAUUGUAUUUUUGAAGAAGCGAUAUCUGUGUUGAGGUCUGAUCAAGUUCUUUGGACCAGACCACCCAUGGAGGGUGAGAAUCCCGUGCAUGAUCAGAACCCAGGAUGCUUAUAUUUCGGUUUUCUACGAGUCCGAGUUGUUUGGUAUGCCAGCCUCAAAUUGGGUGGUAGAACUUCCCCUAAGCUUAUAUCCCGCGGAGGACCGAUAGCGACCAGUACCUGUUAAGGAGAUAUGAAA